UUCAAUUGAAUGUGAGGAACAAGUUAGCAGUAGUGGUGGGGGCAGAGGGGAAAGGCCUCGCACAAUUUUGCACAAUUUUGAUGUUAAUUUUUUCCUCUUUUGUAUGGAGAUUGGCAUGGUGGCGUGGAGGAGAGUUGGCACUGCCAGCAACUGUUUGAUAUAUUGCAUGAAUGAAGCCAAAGGUCUACUGUGUUACUAUAAGUAGGAGGGACUGGUUCUGCUGGGAAUCCUCUCACUAGAAAAAAUCGGGGAAACGGAAACCCUAAUUGAUGGGAUGGUUUAGACCUCAGCAGCGGCCGGUUUUCAGGUUGUUGUUUGUGGAUUGUUUUGAUUGGAGCGAAAGAGGGGAGAAGAGAAAGGACUAAUUGACAGAAGAGAGCGAGCACAAGCAGGCAAUUGUAUAGAGUUAUACCUUUGUGGAUGCGUGUGCUCACUUCUAUUCUGUCAGCUUCUCUCUCCACCGCCUCUCUCUGCCUCCCUCCAUCCCUCCUCCCUUCACACACAUACACGCCGCACGCGUGCGUCAUUGCCCUAUCUGAUACAUCUGGGGACCUGCCAAAGAUACACCAUCCUUUGCAAACAACGUACAUCAACAAAAUGACGAACCCCAGUUUGUACUCAUCUUCUUUUUCGGGAGUUGUGAUUAUAUGAUUUAAUUUAAUUUUUUUUUUUUAUAAUCUAGGUUCAUAUAGAUAAGUAUCGAUUUUUACUGCGCUUUUGUCAGUUUUAUCAUGAGUAAAACAGUGAUUCCCUGAUACAAAACCUUUCACCUUUCGAGUGGAAGGAUUUGUUUAUUGCUAUCUUGUUCUUGCAGGAAAAAAGAUGUAUAUUUUAUGUGAUUAAUCAUCUUGUUUGUGUUUCUCUGUUGGAUUUGUCUGUGAUAAGAGUGUGAAUCACGGAGUUCGUUGUCCUUGAUUAUGUUUUCAUAUUUAGGCCUAUGAGUUAAUUGAUUCUCGUGAUUAGUUCCGGAUCCUCAGCCUUUCUCCUUGAUUUGUAAGGGAUCUCAUCCACGAACUGCCAAAGGCCGAUGAAGAUCUCAUAUCAGGUUAUGGACUGGAAAGGAUGGAUGAGUGAGGUGCACUUCCAGUCUCAUGCAAUGAUUGUAUAAAUAAUCUAGGGAAAAAAAGUUGAGACUUAUCUCAGAAUAGGCUUGAGACCUUCCUUGUUCACACAUGUUAUAAACUUCAUUAGGACUUGAUUUAUACAUUGGAAAGCAGUAGAGUAUUGAGAUAUAUAAUCUCUAUUACUCAAACGCAGAACUAUACUCCAUAAGAAAUCAUCCAUGAUUUGGAACGAUGAUGAUCACAAUGUACUGAUUUAAAAGAAUAAGAAUGGAAUCCUAAGCCCAAUGACAUGUAUUGAAUUGCUUGCUUACCGUGCACUUUUCCUCCUUCAUGGUUUGUAUUGAAAGGAGUAAUUCGUCAGCUGUCAUAAGCGUGUUCCUAGUUAUUUCACUUUGUUUGGCUGGACACAACUGCCAAGAGCGGCAUAAUUUAGUGCAUUUCUUUCAUACCUUGCCUUUUGCUACAUAGGAUUCGCAAGCCUUUGUGCCAUAUAGCACUAAAGUUAUACUGAUCCAGCUAGUAGGGGAUGUUAUGCCACAAGAAGGUGUGGCUUAGUGGAAUUGGAUGCAGGGAAUGGAUCAUUAAAUUCAGAAGCUGCUUAAUGAAGGCACGAAGAGAAAACAUGCAAGAAAGAGGGCAAAUGACAAGGAAUGGAAGAAAGUGAAGGAAGAAGGCAAAGAUGACCCAAACUGCCGAAGCUAUUGGACUGGCCAGCUUGAACCCGACGGGAAAAUGAUUAAAGCCACUUCCACACACUUAUCAAGGACAACUCUCACUUGCUACACAUGCCCAUAUCAGCCCUUGGAGAGUAAAAAAGAAAAAGAAAUAUCUUUAAUUAGAUAUAUGUUUUAAAAAGACUUUAACUUUCCAACACCCACUUUUUAUCACUUUAGCUUUAGUUUAGUUUAGUUAAUUCUCUCUCUAGGAAACUUUUCUCUCUUCCUUAAGAGGAGAGAUUUCAGACUCAAGGCUGCCAAGAUCUUUUGUUCA